rnacentral:rRNA from 1 species
CGGCAACAGCUCAAAUUUGAAAUCUGCCCGCAAGGGCCGAGUUGUAAUCUAGAGAAGCAUUAUCCGCGCUGGACCGUGUACAAGUCUCCUGGAAUGGAGCGUCAUAGAGGGUGAGAAUCCCGUCUUUGACACGGACUGCCAGGGCUUUUGUGAUGUGCUCUCAAA